GAUGAACGCUGGCGGCGUGCCUAAUACAUGCAAGUCGAGCGAACAGACGAGGAGCUUGCUCCUCUGACGUUAGCGGCGGACGGGUGAGUAACACGUGGAUAACCUACCUAUAAGACUGGGAUAACUUCGGGAAACCGGAGCUAAUACCGGAUAAUAUAUUGAACCGCAUGGUUCAAUAGUGAAAGACGGUUUUGCUGUCACUUAUAGAUGGAUCCGCGCCGCAUUAGCUAGUUGGUAAGGUAACGGCUUACCAAGGCAACGAUGCGUAGCCGACCUGAGAGGGUGAUCGGCCACACUGGAACUGAGACACGGUCCAGACUCCUACGGGAGGCAGCAGUAGGGAAUCUUCCGCAAUGGGCGAAAGCCUGACGGAGCAACGCCGCGUGAGUGAUGAAGGUCUUCGGAUCGUAAAACUCUGCUAUUAGGGAAGAACAAAUGUGUAAGUAACUAUGCACGUCUUGACGGUACCUAAUCAGAGAGCCACGGCUAACUACGUG
rnacentral:rRNA from 1 species